UAGAUCUCUGCCUCUGGAAUAGAUUCAGCAUGCCCAAUCCCAGAACGAAGUUGAGACAUCUGAGUUGUGUCCCCUCCUUUGUCAUUAUGCCAGCUAGUGGAAAGCUGAGAUUGAUCGAUGUACUCUAAGCUAACUUGGGACUGUGCUCUAGACCCGGUGUAUUCCUAAGGGAAUAGAGAGCCAACAGGUGAAUCACAAGAAGCAACUACCUAAACAAAGUUGAGAAUCUGAGGGUGUCCUACCAAACC